ACCUGUUAUUUAAGAUGACGGGUCUCUUGCAUUUUUUUUUCAAAAAAUAAUUUUUUAAAAUUAAACUAGAGACCGCUUAUUCAAUUAACUGGUCUUUUAUUUUUGCUAGAGAGAUCGGUUAACAUUAAAGGCGGGUCUCUUGUUUUCGAGCUUUCCACUUACACGUACGCCCCACUCAUCACUUUUUCUCUUUUUAUCUCUUCUCUCCUCCUCACUCUUACCUAGUCUGCUCCAUUCCCUUCUUAUCUCUUUUUCUCUCUACUCCUUAAAACCCUAACCAUCUCCUUGGAGCCAAAUAGCAAUGAUUCAGAUCGAGCAUCCAUAAACAAAUAAAAGGAAAGAGGAAUGGCGAAAGAAAGUGAACAAAAUUACGGAAGUUAAUCUCUUCGAUUUCUUGAAUAUAUGCUCGAUCGAUCAUCUAUGAGCUAAUGUUUAAUGGAGACAUGAUUUGAAGAUGACGAGGAUGCUAACAGAUGAUGAUGAAGAUAAAUAUUCCAAUGAAACAAGCUAGUGGAAGAUAGUUCAUUUUUAGUGUUAAUUUUCUUUAUAUAUGAUUACAGAUUAAUAGAUUAUAGUACCUAGAUAAAUUAUCUAAUACAUGCUAUAAAUUACGAAGUAUCUAAUAUGUAAAUACUUCGUAUGCAUUAUGUGCUACAGAUUAAUAGAGUAGUACCUUAGAUUGUUUUUUUUUCCGAGCGAAAUAUGAAAUUGUAUAUUUUUUUUCAUAA